AUAGGGUUUGCCGCCGCCGCCCUUCUCGUCGUCCUUCCGUCAAUCCCUAGAUUCGUCGCCAACUCCCCCUUACCUGGUCAGGCGAGGAUCCCGCAGCGCACCCCAAGCUAUCGUACUACGCCCCACUCGAGAAAAAGCCAGAGAAGGACGGGCGGAGCCGCAACCUCCUCCUCUUGUCUCUAGAUGCUUGCACCGUGUGAGGCCCUCGAUCCAUUGACGAGGAUAUCGCUCAGCUCCCCUUUGUGGCCGGCCCGUGGGGAGGAGACCGCAAGCCGCAAGAUGGAGGCGGAAUCUGGCGGCAGCCCGCCAGCGGUGUUUCAUGGACGCCGGCGGACAAAUUCAUCGAUCCGUCGACCUCCCCUGGUCGAUGGAUGCCGCUAGCUCCAGAUGAAGAUUGAGGAGGAGCUGAUUUGCUUGUUCAGGGACGAGUUAUUAGCAGACGUGAGCUAGCAUGGACAAGAAGCAAUAGCAUGGACGUGAUCAGGACACGUAUUUUUACACAGCUUGAUUCAUGAGUAGACUAUUGCUGCGCUGAUUAACGACCUGGGGAGGAGAAAGAUCAGAAAAGGAAAAGUUAAACUGCUACACAUUAUCACUUGAGCAACAUUAUUUACCAGUAUUAUUUAGUUAACAAGGAAAUUAUCUGGUGAUCAAUCGUGAGAGGAAAUUGUAGGUGAGCAUUUGAAUCAUCUCCAUGCUAUGCUACUAGCACGUACGUCUGCCUGCAUUCUGUAGUGUUCUUCCAAUUGUACAUCGUAAUAUUGUCUUGGUGCUGUACUUUGUUAGUUUUGAUUCAGUUUUUACUAUAUUGGGAAAUACAAAAUUUAAUUGGUUUCAUCGAAAUAUCACAUAUACUGUUAAUUUAAAUUUAAUUAUUUAGGACGCAUCAAGAGUUUCAGAAACCUCUUUGUUGCUGCAGUCCUGGGCGUACAACAGUGCCAUCGGAGACUAAUGCUUCAUAAGCACCUUCUGAGAAGAAGGCUGAACGUUCGUCCACUUAGUGUGUUAGUGAUAAUUUCCAUGCAAAACAAGAAAAAACAUGCGGUGGUAACAUAGAACGUUUAUAUUUGAAAAUGCAAAGGGUUGGACAAUGAUAGAUGAAUAUAACUUGAAGUCUUCCAUGUAAAACGGUUCACACAAAUCUUAAAUACUCAGCGUGUCGCGGUGCGAAAAAUCCACAUAAUUGUUGACUUUGGCACAUGUGUUUUUCCAUGACCUACAAAAUAUUCACCCGUAGCGAAGCACGGGCAAAUGUCCUAUCCGAAAGAAAAAGGAAAGUUCCCUACUCUCCUAAUCCAUCGAUACGUCGAAUAGUUUGGUCGUCCUCGUGGUAGUACCCGCACGCGUCCAUCUAAAACUGCCAUCGUCUCCUGCUCUAUACUCCCAUCAAACCAGGACGCCUAAGGUUUCGGCGCCGCCACACGACCGGCAUGGUCUCCCCCGGAGAAAAUCCUGACGCCACCUUCCUCGCGCCUUGGUGGAGGGGACCGCGGUAGGGCGCCGCAAGGCAUCGGGGCAGAGGUGGAGGCGCUGCACGGAGGAGAUGGAUGUGCUACGACGUUAUUGAAGGAUGCGGCUACACAGUGGAGGCGAAGGAGAUGAGCAGCGGAGCAGCGGCCGUGGUGGCAGGAAAGACAUCAGCGUGAGCUCCUCAUUCCGAUUGCUGCCUCCCAUAAUUAAUUUAAUUCUAUUUCGCUUCUAGGGUUUGAUGUCAAGGAGAUUCCUAUGCCAAUGGUGUCAACGACCAGAAGUGAUGCUCUGCUGCAGCUUGGGUUUCCCACACAGUCUGAGCAAUUAUUUAUCGUGUGUUCACCUAUUAUCUACCGGGGAUAUGCAUAGAAACUUCAGAGUUUGGACUCUCAAGAUCAGGGUCCACUUCACAGCAUCGUAGCUGAUCAACCUUCUUAGGUUGGCCUUUGUCUCUAAAGGAGCGCGGCUAAGAAGAUCAUAUUCUUGCCAUUCAGAUUGGGGAUGUCCCCCUUUCACAAAAAUGCAUGUGUUUGUGUUUAUACAUGGCAACUCAAACGUUUUCUCAUCUUAUUACUGACGCACUAGGUGAAUGUGAGCAGUUCAUUGUUAGCCUCAUCACCUCUCUGUUUCAUGUUGUUGCAAAUUUAUAGCCUUGCUGAUUCUUAUGAAGAAACUAAAUUAAACUUCAUGGUAGGUACACGUCAAUCAUACAAGCAUGAGGACAUGGAAAUUAAAAGGCAAAGUGAUUAUGUGAUUUUUAUUGUGAUGCCAAAUCAUCUUCCUUGCCUGUUGGUAGCUGCUCCUAAGAGAAUAAGAUUUUUAAUUGUACCUCUUUAGAUGCAAGCAUCUUCUUAUCAGUGGAACUGCAAGGAGUUUUUUCAAAGUAAAUUGAAGUGAACUAGAUCUAUCAUUUGUACUUGAAUGCUAAUUGGAUAUGCAGGGACACUGGGUAGUAAAGUUUUCUAGGAGUGCAUAUGUAGAUUAAGCAGUCUGAUACUUUUCGGUGUAUUCUCACGGUUAUUCUUAGUGUAUAUUAUGCAGCUUAAGUAGAGUCGCAUGAAGGUGAAGUGAGGCAACCAUGACAGGAAAGAUGAUUUUGAUGCACACAACCUAUUUAGUGAAAUACAUGUACUUGGGUUGUCCCUCCGUAAGUUCCUGUGCAAUUUAUUUAUCGUGCUGAUUGUGUUAAUUUGGAGAGUGGGUAUAUGCAUGGUAUCAUGUGAAUUACGUUGUUGAUUAUAUGGUUAGUUAUCUCAUACACCUACAGGCAAGUUCGUAUUUACUAUCUUAGAACCUUUGUAACAUUUCAGAUUAUGAUAUCAUUUUAGUGGAAAUUUGCAUAUACUGGUUAGAGCCUUGGUCCAGAAGUAGAGGUUCUGAACUAAAUCAAAGGUAAUUAUGUUACAUCGCUACAUAGGGCACUUGGAUGGAGGAAACUUAGCUUACCGUAGACAGUCCAGACUGAAACCAUAUGUGUUUUUUUUAAAUACCCAUCCUUAAAAUUUCGUGUUUCGCAUACUUUUAUAGUGGUUUAGCACGACAACUUUGGAAAUGGCGGCGGGCGUGGUUCUUCUGUGACUGCCUCUGGACGGCAGGCUGGGUCGACAUCUCGUGGCUACGGGCAUGCCUGUCGCGGCUCUUGCCAGUCAGUUGUUCCUGGUAUUUCGUCUCCGCAUGGUGUGCCUUCUGUGUUCCUGUUGUCCCUUAGGUUUCCAAGUUGUUGGUUUAAAUUAUCACUUUUGAUAUCAGUAUGUUUUCUUUUAUUCCUUCACUAGGCAGUACAAUUGUCAUUUUGAUAUCGCCCCCCUGUCUAAAUGGUCCAUAAAUCCUCUUGAACUAAAUAGCACUUGCUAUGCAGGUAUGGUUAUUAUUUUAGACCCUUGUGUUGUGUUUUGCUAUGAUGGGUAAUGACAAAUUAGUGAAAUCAGAAUGCCCAAAUAAGGCCAUCUGCAGAACAAGUUUAUAAAUAGAUGUGCAUAUGCCAUGAGAAAAUCAGUAUAUGCAUUUUACAGUUCUAUUGAUGCCCAAAAGCAACAUAUUUUUUAGAAGGAACCAUGCUGAUUUUCUUUAUAUGCAGACCAAGUUCAUAAUUUGACAAUGAGUUCUCAAACAACCUGAAAAAUUCAUGGAGUAUGCAUGGAGCCAAUAGGAUAUGUGAACAUGUUGGAGAUAAUAUGAACUUCUAUCCUACUUUUAAGAAACAAAUAUGGUAUUUGAUUCGGUUAUAUUCUUAUCUUUUUUAAUGGCAGUACUACUUUUUCUUCUAUUUUAGUGGUGGUACUGAUUUCAUUUUAGCUAUUCGGAGCUAUUCGUCAGUAGUGGUCGUGCACCCCAAUCCUGAUACUUACUUUGCAGACUCGCAACGUAUGUAUGAGUUUGUCAAAAAAGAAUAUGCAUGUUCAUGACCUGGUGUCUGUGUCAUUUGAAGCAUGGAUUGCUAAUGGAAAGAUCGAGGUGAUUCGGUGGAUCUACAUAAGGAGGAAGAUUCAUGGACGUGGUGGACCAAGGCAGGAUCUUGGGAUGCUCGGCUAAAACAAGCUUGGAGGAGCCAAGCAAACGCCGGUGCUAGCUUUGAGGAGGCCAUAUGUAAGGAUGACCACACCAUGCGCACUCCGGGCGGUGUUUCUAUGAAGAAUUGGGAACUGAUCAAUACAGUUAGUUAGUACAGACAAAUGAAAUUUCUGGUUUGCACGGAAUGAGCAUUGAUUACCUCAAUGUAAUUGUGGAACCAACAUGAUGUUUGGUCAAUUCACUUCGGCGUCUACUCAAAAUAGCUCCAUAUAUUCAGUGUUGGAGUAACCUGCAGGAAUUGACGGAUCUUUAGCCAUGCUAGGUGCAAGGUACAAAUCGAGUGAAAUCAUAACAAGAGAAAAAAUGCACAUUAGGCAUCUGUAGGAUUUUUUGUGAACUUUUCUUGGCUGCAGUUUGUGUUCUCCAAAUUCUUAAAAGGUUCAGUUCGGCAUCUGAAGGAUUUAUGCGGUUGCAAUACCGAUAUGUAAAAUAAUCCUUUUGUAGCUGUUGGACUCCAUAAACUUAAGGAACGGCUCAUAGUAACUUAAUUUCGACUCAUAGGGACGACUUCGUAAACCAC